rnacentral:rRNA from 1 species
AACGAACGCUGGCGGCAUGCCUAACACAUGCAAGUCGAACGAGACCUUCGGGUCUAGUGGCGCACGGGUGCGUAACGCGUGGGAACCUGCCCUUAGGUUCGGAAUAACUCCCCGAAAGGGGUGCUAAUACCGGAUAAUGUCUUCGGACCAAAGAUUUAUGGCCUUUGGCUGGGCCGGCGUCGGAUUAGCUAGUUGGUCGGGUAAAAGCCUACCAAGGCGACGAUGCCUAGAUGGUCUGAGAGGAUGAUCAGACACACUGGGACGGAGACACGGCCCAGACUCCUACGGUAGGCAGCAGUAGGGACUAUUGGACAAUGGACGACAGCCUGAUCCAGCAAUGCCGCGUGAGUGAUGAAGGCCUUAGGGUUGUAAUGCUCUGUUACCUGGGAUGAUGAUGACAGUACCGGGCGAAUAAGCUCCGGCUAACUCCGUG